rnacentral:rRNA from 1 species
UACGGAGGGUGCAAGCGUUAUCCGGAUUCACUGGGUUUAAAGGGUGCGUAGGUGGGCAAGUAAGUCAGUGGUGAAAUCUCCGGGCUUAACCCGGAAACUGCCAUUGAUACUAUUUGUCUUGAAUACUGUGGAGGUCAGCGGAAUAUGUCAUGUAGCGGUGAAAUGCUUAGAUAUGACAUAGAACACCAAUUGCGAAGGCAGCUGGCUACACAAAUAUUGACGCUGAUGGACGAAAGCGUGGGGAGCGAACAGG